UAGGGAAUCUUCCGCAAUGGACGAAAGUCUGACGGAGCGACGCCGCGUGAGCGAAGAAGGUCUUCGGAUCGUAAAGCUCUGUUGUUAGGGAAGAAGAAGUGCCGUUCGAACAGGGCGGCGCGGUGACGGUACCAUAGGAGGAAGCCCCGGCUAACUACGUGCCAGCAGCCGCGGUAAUACGUAGGGGGCGAGCGUUGUCCGUAAUUAUUGGGCGUAAAGCGCGCGCAGGCGGUUCCUUAAGUCUGAUGUGAAAUCUCGCGGCUCAACCGCGAGCGGCCAUUGGAAACUGGGGAACUUGAGUGCAGGAGAGGGGAGCGGAAUUCCACGUGUAGCGGUGAAAUGCGUAGAGAUGUGGAGGAACACCAGUGGCGAAGGCGGCUCUCUGGCCUGUAACUGACGCUGAGGCGCGAAAGCGUGGGGAGCGAACAGG
rnacentral:rRNA from 1 species